rnacentral:rRNA from 1 species
GAUGAACGCUGGCGGCGUGCCUAAUACAUGCAAGUCGAGCGAACGGACGAGGAGCUUGCUUCUCUGAUGUUAGCGGCGGACGGGUGAGUAACACGUGGGUAACCUACCUAUAAGACUGGGAUAACUUCGGGAAACCGGAGCUAAUACCGGAUGAUAUUUUGAACCUCAUGGUUCCAGAGUGAAAGACGGUCUUGCGGUCACUUAUAGAUGGAUCCGCGCUGCAUUAGCUAGUUGGUAAGGUAACGGCUUACCAAGGCAACGAUGCAUAGCCGACCUGAGAGGGUGAUCAGCCACCCUAGACCGGAGCCGCGGUCCAGACUCGUAUGGGAGGCAGCAGUGGGGAAACUUCCGCUGAGGGCGAAAGCCUGACGUGGCAACGCCGAGUGAGGUAUGGAAGUCCGCCGAUCUUAAUUCUCUGCUACUAUUGUGGGGCAUAUGUGUAAGUAACUGUGAACCUCUUGACGGUACCUAAUCAGAAAGCCACGGCUAACUCCGUG